AAAAGGGAAAAAAAGAACCUGGGACGGUGUAGAGCAGCAGGGCCUGGCCGGGUGAGAUUUGGACUCCAGAGACCUGCGGCUGAGCCCAGGGCCUGCCCCCUGCCAGCCACGAUGACGAGCGAGGAAGCUGAGGCUCACAGACUUUCUAAUAAUCCCUGUCUGGUGGGGUGGUUGUGAGGACCAAAACGAUAAUAAUGCAAAUAUAUUCACCAUUAUAUGUGAAAGUAUUGGUGGUGGUGAGAGGAAGACACGGGUUUUACUAGGUUUUCUUAAAGUCCUGUGUUCAGUUUCUGAGCUUCUUCCAGGACAGAACUUGACUCUCUUGUCCCAAGACCAAGACAGGGUGAGGCGAGUCCCCCAAAAGCAGCACAUGGCAAAGGGCUUGGCUGGUCCUGGCUUCCAGCAGGGGUAAAGAGCCAGUGUAGAGGCAGCCAAAGGCCCAGGUAACACCCCUUUACUCGGGGCCCAUCUCCACACACAUCCGCUGUGAUUAAGGCUCAGCUCAGCUGUGUUCAGCCGUUGAGAACAGGGGUUCUCCGCCUUGGCUGCACCCUGGAAUCACCGGGGAGCUUUAAAUGUUCCUGCCAGGCUCCCCGCCGCGGAGUGCUGCUGGUUGAACAGGUCGGGGUGGAGCCUCGGCAGCAGGGGUAUGCCGAGUUCUUCAGGUGACUCUGGUGAGCAGUCAAGGUUGGCAGCCGCUGGUCUAGAUUUCUGAGUGAGCUCGUGGGAUUUCCAGUCUGCUCCCCUUCUCCUCCAUCCUUCCUUUUGGGCAGUGAUCACAGACAGACUGGCCCCACUCUUUGCAGGGCUGGAGCUUACGGAAUAGUCUUCGUUUCUAAAACUAGACACCACCACGGGGCUUCAGGCCAGGUGUGGGUUUUGGUUCUGUCCAGACCGGUUGGGGAGAAGCGGAUGGCACCCUCCUGCUUCUGAGACAACCUGGGGUUGAGGCAGCCUCCACGUCCAGCUCAGACUCCUGCUCCUCGGUCCUGGUCGGUCCUGCCUCGUACGCACAAUUCCCCGCUCUCGUAAGCGUAGUGCCUCGAGUUUAUAGAGCAUAGCAAGGCCUGUGAAGCCCUACACGCUAUAGUAUCAUGGCAUUGCAUUUACGAGCGUUUAUUUAAACUAACACUUAAAGCGUUUGAGUGGGAGCAGGAAGCGAAAUUCAAGGGCAUUUGUUCUGGGGGAGUUUGAAGAGCUGCAUUUCUUUUUUUCUUUCCUCUCCUUCCUUGUGCCUGGCCAGAUAAUUUAAGGAUCAUUUGAAGUGCCAUUUCCUGCUGGGUUCUUGAUACAUAUGGUGUGUGGGUGUGUGUAUUUGUAUCCCAAGAGGAGUAGGAAAUUUCUCCGGGUGUGUUGGCCACAGCAAAGCUCUGGACCAUCUUCACAGAAUUUGCAGAGGACCAGCAGCGCAUCUGACGCUCCCAGAUGUUGUCCCGGCGGGCUCUGCGGUCCGCGUUAGCAUUCUAGGCAGAGUCUUGACGGAUGGCUCAUAGGUGACCAUCUCACAGAGUUCCCUCCUCUCACAGCUGAGAAACUAAAAAGGCAGAGAUGGGAGGUGACUUGUCCUCAGUGGGAUCCUAGAUCCUGCCCGUGACUUUGUGCAGCACUGCCCGGCACGCUCAGCUGCCUCCCGACACCUGCCGAGUUAUUGCCCGCAACUCUUUUCCGGUUAGCUGUCUCCUGGGAACAAGUUUUCUUUGUUCCCGGAUCAGCAUCCCUCACUAUGCAGUUGGGGAGCCAAAACCACAGGCAGGAGGAGCAGCGGUCUGGGGGCCGAUUCUAGGGUCCCAGUCUCUGACCAACCAACUUGCCAAACAGAAUUUAUCUCCCCUUUCAGAAGCCGCUUUGCUUCAUGACUUGAAAGGUUUCCUCUUCAGUUAGCACAUGCGCUGGCUAACGUCUCAUCUCUGAGUACAGGCACCACCAUCUGACUGCUUCUGAAGUCACCCAGCAAGAAUGUCUGGCCCGCAGUAAAUCUUUUGACUCAUUAUAAAGAGGGGUUCUCUCACUCAUUAAAUGAAUUAGGAUUAGAGAGCAUCACCCACUGACUUGAGUGCUAAUUAUCGCUGAUUUUCAUGGUGCUCAUUUAGUGAGGAACGUGUUGCCAAUUUCUCUUGGCGUUUCUGGGAUCUCUGUCGCCAGCCUUGCUGCUGGGGUCAGGUUUGGAAGCGGUCCCUUCACACCCUUAUGCCUAUAUUGCGCUCGGAAUGUGGAACCUGGUAAGUUAAUACUCAGUUCACAUUCUGCAUUUCACCUCCUUCCACCCCCUUUCUUGGCUUUGUUCAUUGCCUAGCAUUAUUGAAACCGUCUGUGUAUCUUCUGAUACAUUAAAAGCUGUUUUUGUUGUUGCUGAGAACAGGGACCACGUACGAGUUGCCGAUUGCUAAAACGAUGCUGUGUAACCGCCACAAAACCUCAGUGGCGGACAGUAGCUGUUUCUCUCUCAUGUCUGGAGCCCACUGGGAGUGGCGCUUCUGAUUUUGGCUGGGCCCACUUGCACAUUGUAGGGUGGACUGGCUGUAGACCAUCUAGGCUGGCCUCAGCUGGGGCAACUGAGGGGACUUGGCCCUGCUCCACAUGCCUCUCGCCCUGCAGCGGGCUGCCCCGGGCAUGCCCUUCCCACGGGGAUGGCGGGGGUGCAAGAGAGAGAGCAGGCGGAAACAGGCAGUCCCUCUGAGGGCUGGAGACACCAUUCUACCCACCCCGUUCUACUGACUGUAACAAGUUAAGUUCAGAGACAUGGGAUAGGGAGAUAGACCCUGCCUUUAGGGGAGAGGAACUACAAAAUUACAGGGUAAAGGGCGUGAGGCCAUUAAAGCAAUUAGUCUGCAGGGACCUCUAUGAUUUGCCUCUUGUUGGUACUUAGGCUGAUGCUCUGCAAACAGUGAAUGCCUAAUAAAUACAUGUUACAUAAAAGUAAGUCAAGUUAACGUUAGCUGGGUAUUCUAACCAAGAUGGACUUGGCUGAGUGUUGCAGACAUUAGCUGGUUUAUCCGUCAGAAGGAUCCUGGCAGAGUCCGAAUUUUUCCUGCGUUGGAUACAGGGACAGUUUAAUUGUCACAAAGAAGUCUCUCUCAGCUUCUCUUCUAUCACAGUUUACUGUCACAUUUUCAGGAUCUUAAAAUAUAAACAUCCAAGAGACGGGGAACAAAAAGGGGGGAGCUAUUUCCAAACUGAAGUGCAUCAGUAGCUCCUGCGAGAGAAAUGUCUUGCCCGUAUGGAGUGCUGCGUGUAAGUGAAGAGGAAGAAGCAGCUCUGCCCGGUGCCUUCGACCUUUGCUCUUGUUCCUUUCUCACCCCCUUAGAACAGCACCUGAAAUGUGGGUCCAUACGUCAGGAGCCUGUUAGAAAUGCAGAUCUACUGAAUCACUCCAGGGGCCUGUGUUAAAACAAGCCCCCCAGGAAAUUUUGAUGUGGGUGAAGUUUGAGAAGCCCCGUCCCAACCUCCAUGGUCACGGAGCUAACACUGUAGCUCCCACUCUCGACCCUCCAGGGUGGCGUGUGCACAGCUCAUGCCCCUCGGGGUGUCACAGCGUAGUCUGAACCUUGUGCUAAGGCAGAAAUACAUGGUCAGGACAGCUGGUGUCAAAGCCGGGGUGGGGUGUCCCCCGCCAUCUCACAUCAGUUACUUUCCCCUGCUUUGUCAUUCACAUAGACGCACCGCCAAGAAUGUCCGGGCUGCAUUUUCAACCUGCUGUACGUCAUCAGAAGACCCCAUGCCAGCCCCACAAGUCUCUGUGUCCUCCUAGCACCCAGAGUGUGGCCUGACCUGUGUGCUAACGUUGGUGACACUGCACAACUGACUGGUCUACCUGGGUUUGGUGAGUGUGUGCAUGUGUAUGCACAUGUGGGCAUGUACAUAUGUGAAGG